rnacentral:rRNA from 1 species
CCCUUAGACGUUCUGGGCCGCACGCGCGCUACACUGACCAGUGCAACAAGCAUCCGUCCUUUGCCGACAGGCCCGGGCAAUCUUUGAACGCUGGUCGUGAUGGGGAUAGACUUUUGCAAUUUUUGGUCUUCAACGAGGAAUUCCUAGUAAACGCAAGUCAUCAACUUGCAUUGAUUACGUCCCUGCCCUUUGUACACACCGCCCGUCGCACCUACCGAUUGAAUGGUCCGGUGAAGCCUCCGGAUUGGCGCGCACCUCGGUGCCGCCGAGAAGUUGGCUAAACCUUACCAUUUAGAGGAAGGUGAAGUCGUAACA